rnacentral:rRNA from 1 species
GACAGAGGGUGCAAACGUUGUUCGGAAUUACUGGGCGUAAAGCGCGUGUAGGCUGCUUCGCAAGUCGGAUGUGAAAGCCCUGGGCUCAACCCAGGAAGUGCAUUCGAAACUGCAGAGCUGGAGUCCUGGAGAGGUAGGCGGAAUUCUCGGUGUAGAGGUGAAAUUCGUAGAUAUCGAGAGGAACACCGGUGGCGAAGGCGGCCUUCUGGACAGUGACUGACGCUGAGACGCGAAAGCGUGGGGAGCAAACAGG